CUUGUUAGACUUUAGAAUAGGCCAUGCACACUGCUUUAAGUUAUUUGCCAUUGAAUAAACAUUUAAUAGACUUUUCAAAUAAUGUCACUUUGUUAACUUGUGAGUAUCUCAACAUACAUCAUAACUAUAAUUUCUAAAUGCAGUCUUUUUUUCAAUCUGAAUUCCAGGUGACACACAAUCAGGCUCCUGCUGUGGCAGUGGACACGGAGACGCCUUUAGACUGGACUAGCUAUGAUGGAUGUGACCCAAAUAGAGCUACAGUCAGGUGACACACAAUCAGGCUCCUGCUGUGGCAGUGGACACGGAGACGCCUUUAGACUGGACUAGCUAUGAUGGAUGUGACCCAAAUAGAGCUACAGUCAGUGACACACAAUCAGGC